rnacentral:tRNA from 1 species
AGCUUCGUAGUGGAAAUAUAAGAUGUCCGACUGCAAUUCUGAAGAUGCGUAAAACGCCGGAGCUU